AGAACGAACGCUGGCGGCAAGCUUAACACAUGCAAGUCGAACGGAUUUUUGUCGUAGCUUGCUAUGAUAAAAAUUAGUGGCAGACGGGUGAGUAAUGCAUAGGAAUCUACCUAGUAGUAUGGGAUAGCCACUAGAAAUGGUGGGUAAUACUGUAUAAUCCCUGCGGGGGAAAGAUUUAUCGCUAUUAGAUGAGCCUAUGUUAGAUUAGCUAGUUGGUAGGGUAAAGGCCUACCAAGGCAGUGAUCUAUAGCUGGUCUGAGAGGAUGAUCAGCCACACUGGAACUGAGAUACGGUCCAGACUCCUACGGGAGGCAGCAGUGGGGAAUAUUGGACAAUGGGCGCAAGCCUGAUCCAGCUAUGCCGCGUGAGUGAGGAAGGCCUUAGGGUUGUAAAACUCUUUCAAUAGGGAAGAUAAUG
rnacentral:rRNA from 1 species